rnacentral:lncRNA from 1 species
CAAUGAUGUAUUACAUUUUUCAUGAAAAAUCAUGAAGAUAUCUCUAUAUUUGAACCUAAUGUCAAUAUAAAUUUGUGAGGUCUUAUUUUUCUAUUAAUACCUAUAUUUUGUAAUGUAUGUGAUAUGUUUUAUAUAUGUUUGUCAUAGAUGCAUUUGACUUCAUUUAUAUAUUCACAGAGAUUUAUAGAGAGGCAUUAAAAAACAGGCAUAGUCAGUUAGUUAUAUAUAAAGGUUAUUGAGGAUGCAACGAUAUAAAAGAUAGAAGAACCUAGUAAUUGCCUUUAAGAUCAGAGCACAAAGCAUUAGUUUGGAUUUUACAAGGCCAGCCAGCAACAAAAGAGCAGUAAUUUAUGAGCUCAGCGUAAAAGAAUAGCAUAAUUGCAUUAAAAAUUAAUGCUAAUGAACACUAAAAUGGGGAAGGUGGGUAUGAUGAAAGUUUGUAUUCAUCUUUCCUGGUUUGAAUGAUGGCUAGUGGCUUGAUUAAUGGCUUAAUUUCUAUCAAUUAGCGGGGAAAAAUCUCCUGCGAGACAAGGGUAAAUUGAGCAUUGAAUUACAUAUCUUGCUUUUGUGUGCUAAGAAAAAAGAGCUGCGUAUCUCUGAUAUUAGCCACAGUGACAAAUGUGGUGUGCCCCGCAAUGUCUGCAUUAGCUCUCCUGACAGGCGAGUUGUGUGUGGUUAUGGGGUGUUUGGAGAUGGUUGGCAGACAGCAUUCGCUGUGAGCUCCUUAGAAACACACAACUCUUCCAUUUACAGAAUUUUAAUUAGAGUCAGUAAGAAUUCUAGAAUUAAAGUGGACAGCAAACAGCAACUGCAGAUUCUGUGUUCAGACCUACUAAUCUAGAAUAUCUCAAAGUAUCUUCCUUUCUUUCCCUCUGUUAAAAUAAGCAAACUUCCAGCCGCUCUAGUUUUGCUGGAAUUGUUAUUUCUUCCCACUCUGUUACAGUGGAUUUCACUGCCUAGCUUUAUUGUGUCUGAAACAAAAUGUAAGGCAGUGGUCUAUAGGGUUGUUCUGCAUAGUGGUUGUUGGUUCAGCCCAAUUCACAGAUAUUCUAGCUUUUGUAAUUGCAGUUGCUACAUAGCAAAUAACCAACUACUUGGCUUUGAAAAUACCCUACUUUGGUUGUUUGCUAGUUUUCUAGAAACUGUAUUUUUUAAAUUUAUUUUUAAGGGUUUAUAUAUAUGUAUAUUUGGGGGGGGGUGCUGGGGAUUGAACCAA